GGGACUGUGGCUUAGUGGUGGAGUGCUUGCUUAGCAUGCAGGAAGCCCUGGGUUUGAUUCCUCAGUACCA
rnacentral:tRNA from 1 species